AUGCGUUUUGGGGAAGAAACUGCAAACUACAGACACCUGAGCGUACAACUGGAAAAAAGCCGUCGAUUGCUAGCGAUUUUUGGGAUAUUGACCGUCUGCCGAAUUGCAGACACCCUUCUUCUCUCUCCUCCUUCUCUUUCCUCCACGUGGACGAAAAUCCUAACUGGCAAUAGCUUACAGACUGCUGACUCAUCGCUGUUGUACAUGCCCUCAGGCUCCGCAUGUGAGGCCACGAGGAGCGACCAUCUGGUUUUGAGACAGCUCUCGAAACCUCGUCUUGUCUUCCUCGGAGCCGGCGGCGAAGCGAGCGGCGGUGCUCUUCUCGACGACUACGUGGAGGAGACGAACCCGGCCAUAAGUCCGUGUGGAUUCAAGAAAAUGGAUGAGAAGCCAUAA
rnacentral:rRNA from 1 species